rnacentral:lncRNA from 1 species
UCCCUGAUGUGUGUGAUAAGAGAAACAGAAAAAACACAAAAAAAAAAACCUAUUAAGCUCCAACAAUGUAGCAUUCAGACUCCAUUUGGUUGUUGGAAGAAUGGAUUUCAGGCAUGAGGAUGGUUUGAAAUCUUAUCUUAUGCUUGACAUGAUGGGCAAAUACAGUUUUGUUCAAUGUUAGUCAUCUGGAGUUCAACAAAAUCUAGAAAGCUUACAUUUAAUUUAGCACAGAAAAAUCCAAACAACACAGAAAAAUAAAUAAAUAAGAACCCCAAUACUCAUUACUUUUUCUUGGUCACCCUGAUCAACCAAACUUGGAAAUGAGCUUGAGGCAGGAAGUAAACAAAGGUAAUUCUGUAUAAGACCUCAAGUGGUUACAUAACACACACAUACACAUGUGUGCGCACACACACAUACACAUGUGUGCGCACACACACAGAAAGCUGAGGAAGCAAGGUAACAUGGCAUUGUGAAUUCAUGCAAGAGUAAAAUUCUCACCAAACUGACAGUGUGCAAGACUAAGAACUAGAAUGAUCGGUUGCUAAAGGAGUAAAAAUUAC